rnacentral:rRNA from 1 species
GCCUGCGGCCACGCCACCCUGAGCACGCCUGAUCCCGUCUGCGCUCGGAAGCCAAGCAGGGUCGGGCCUGGUUAGCACUUGGAUGGGAGAGACCGCCUGGGAAGACCGGGUGCCGUAGGCG